rnacentral:rRNA from 1 species
AGCGAACGCUGGCGGCAGGCUUAACACAUGCAAGUCGAGCGGGCGUAGCAAUACGUCAGCGGCAGACGGGUGAGUAACGCGUGGGAACAUACCUCUUGGUUCGGAACAACACAGGGAAACUUGUGCUAAUACCGGAUAAGCCCUUACGGGGAAAGAUUUAUCGCCGAAAGAUUGGCCCGCGUCUGAUUAGCUAGUUGGUGAGGUAACGGCUCACCAAGGCGACGAUCAGUAGCUGGUCUGAGAGGAUGAUCAGCCACAUUGGGACUGAGACACGGCCCAAACUCCUACGGGAGGCAGCAGUGGGGAAUAUUGGACAAUGGGCGCAAGCCUGAUCCAGCCAUGCCGCGUGAGUGAUGAAGGCCUUAGGGUUGUAAAGCUC